CCAAGUAACUGAGGCUAUCGCUGUGCGCAAGCACAGAGGAAAGUCCAGGCGCCAAAGAGCAGGAAAGUCGGUGUAAGCCGACCGGCCGCAAGGUUAGGGAAAGUGGAACAGAAAGACACAGCGGAAGGCGCAGUUUAGCCACGCGAAGGUGAAAUCGUGCGGUAAGAGCGCACGCGUCGUCUGGUGACAGGCGACGAUCCAAACCCUUUCCGGCGCAAGGUGGGCGGAUCUUGAUUACCAUAACUGGCUGCUCGUCAGGAUAAUCAAGAUUCCACCGCUUAGACAGAUGAUAGCCCAAACAGAACCUGGCUUAUUAGUUGCUUGGGGCC
rnacentral:RNase_P_RNA from 1 species